ensembl:lncRNA
GAGGGAGGGGCCGCAGCCCCCCCCCAAAAUACAGAAUUCGGCGCCCCCUUUUUGGGGGGACCCCAAAAAUCCAAAUCCCCCCUCUCUGUCGGGUGAGAGGAGGAAAAUUCCCGAAGGAAUUCCCGAGGGAAUUCCCGGGAUCGGGGGAAUCCUGGGAAAACCCCGGGGGAGGGAGCAGGGCCGGGUCUGUCCCUUUAAAUUCGGAAUUUUAUAUUUUUUUAUCCAUUAAUUUUAAUUUUUUUUAUUUAAUUAAUAAUAAUAAAUAAAAACCUCGAGGCUUUAAAAAAAAAAAAUAAACCCCAAAAAAACCCGCCAGGAAUCAAAGGAGGAAGGGAAAAAAAUGAUUUAAAAAUUAAUGAGUGAGCCCCAGGAAUUAAUUAAGAAUUAAUUAAAACUUAAUUAAGCCGAGGAGGAAAAUUGGGGGGUCCCCUGGCAGUGAGCAGAGCUGGGAGGUAGCGCUGGGUUGGCCCCACCACCCCCAGUUUGGGGAACCCCCCAUACCCUAAUUUGGGGACCCCCACCCUAAUUUGGGGACCCCCCCCCCACUUUGGGGACCCCCCCAGUUUGGGGACGUCACCCAUGGGACCCCCAUUUUUGGGACCAUCCCCAUUUUGGGGACCUUCUCCUUUUUGGGGACCCCCUUCAUGGGACCCUUCAUUUUGGGGACCAUCCCCACCUUGGUGACCCCAAUUUUGGGGACCCCCCCCCAUUUUGGGGACCAUCCCCACCUUGGUGACCCCCCCAUUUUGGGGACCUUCAAUGGGAUCUCCCAAUUUGGGGAUCUUCAAUGGACUCCCCCAUUUUGGGGACCUUCAAUGGGAUCUCCCAAUUUGGGGAUCUUCAAUGGACCCCCCCAUUUUGGGGACUUUUAAUGGGACCCCCCCAUUUUGGGGACCCCCACUCUAAUUUGGGGACCCCCCCACUUUGGGGACCCCCCAGUUUAGGGACAUCACGCAUGGGACCCCCAUUUUGGGGACCGUCCCCAUUUUGGGGACCCCCCCAUUUUGGGGACCUUCAAUGGAAUCUCCCAUUUUGGGGACUUUCUCCACCUUGGGGACCCCCCAGGACUUGGGGGGCCAUUUUGGGACACCCCCGUUUUGGGAAACCCCUUCAUGGGACCCCCCCCCAUUCUGGGGACCUUCUCCACCUUGGUGACCCCCCCAUUUUGGUGACCUCACCCAUGGGACCCCCUCUGGGAUCCCCCAUUUUGGAGACCGUCCCCACCUCGGUGACCCCUCCAUUUUGGGGACGUUCUCCACCUUGGUGACCCCAUUUCGGGGAUCUCCUACCCACGGUACCCCCAUUUUGGGGACCCUCAUUUUGGGGACCCUCCAUGGAACCCCCUCCCCAAAUUUGGGGAACCCCCCCAGUUUGGGGACAUCACCCAUGGGACCCCCAUUUUGGGAACCGUCCUCAAUUUGGGGGCCCCCUCAUGGGACCCUCCAUUUUGGGGACCUUCUCCACUUAGGGGACCCCCAGUUUGGGGACUUCCCACCCAUGGGACCCCAAUGGGACCCCCCAUUUUGGAGACCGUCCCCACCUUGGUGACCCCUCCCAUUUUGGGGACCUUCUCCAUUUUGGGGACCCUUUAGGCCUUGGGGACCCCCCCUCAUUUUGGGGAC